GAUGAACGCUGGCGGCGUGCCUGACACAUGCAAGUCGAGCGAUCUUCUUCGGAGGAGAGCGGCGGACGGGUGAGUAACGCGUGGGUAACCUGCCCUGUACACACGGAUAACAUACCGAAAGGUAUGCUAAUACGAGAUAAUAUACUUUUAUCGCAUGGUAGAAGUAUCAAAGCUCCGGCGGUACAGGAUGGACCCGCGUCUGUUUAGCUAGUUGGUAAGGUAACGGCUUACCAAGGCGACGAUCAGUAGCCGACCUGGGAGGGUGAUCGGCCACAUUGGAGCUGCGACACAGUCCAAACUCCUACGGGAGGCAGCAGUGGGGAAUAUUGCACAAUGGGCGAAAGCCUGAUGCAGCAACGCCGCGUGAGCGAUGAAGGCCUUCGGGUCGUAAAGCUCUGUCCUCAAGGAAGAUAAUGACGGUACUUGAGGAGGAAGCCCCGGCUAACUACGUGCCAGCCGCCGCCGUAA
rnacentral:rRNA from 1 species